AAAUUUUCUCAACCGCAAACUUCGCCGAAAUUUCACACCAAUACCGUAUACGAGGCUGACGUGGCACCACGGGAACCUCUUACGACGACACACGGGACCGAUGCUUUGUCGUUUUGAAAAACGAAAACGCAGUGGACACAUGCUGAUGACUUGCGUCACUGUUUCUAGCUGUUUGCGUUGUGACGUUUGUGGAUUUUGUUCUUCUCGAGUGAUACGCUUGUCGUUUUGAGCCAUCCCAGCCGUUGCGCAUAGGAUGUGGGGAUUGAAACUUGAUAGGGGAAUAAGAAUGAGAAUUCAGCUUCAAAAGUUCUUGCCACAAAUACGAUCCAUAAGUCUUUUAAUCAAACUAUGAAAUUCAAUUAUUAGCUUAAAAUG
rnacentral:lncRNA from 1 species